CCUACGGGAGGCAGCAGUGAGGAAUAUUGGUCAAUGGGCGCAAGCCUGAACCAGCCAAGUCGCGUGAGGGAUGACGGUCCUAUGGAUUGUAAACCUCUUUUGUCGGGGAGCAAGGCCCGCCACGUGUGGCGGGAAGGAGAGUACCCGCAGAAAAAGCAUCGGCGAACUCCGUGCCAGCAGCCGCGGGAAUACGGAGGAUGCGAGCGGUAUCCGGAUUUAUUGGGGUUAAAGGGGGCGUAGGCGGAAGGGUAAGGCAGCGGUCAAAAGUCGGUGCUCAACACCGG
rnacentral:rRNA from 1 species